rnacentral:tRNA from 1 species
UCCUCGUUGGCUCAGUUGGUAGAGCGCCUCACUAGUAUUUCAGUAUCUUCCGGGAUGUCACAGGCUUAUGAGGAGGUCAGUCGUUCAAAUCGGCUACGAGGAA